AGUUUGAUCCUGGCUCAGAACGAGCGCUGGCGGCAGGCUUAACACAUGCAAGUCGAACGCAUCACAAGAUGAGUGGCAGAGGGGUGAGUAACGCGUGGGAAUCUACCCAUCCCUGCGGAAUAGCUCUGGGAAACUGGAAUUAAUACCGCAUACGCCCUACGGGGGAAAGAUUUAUCGGGGAUGGAUGAGCCCGCGUUGGAUUAGCUAGUUGGUGGGGUAAAGGCCUACCAAGGUGACGAUCCAUAGCUGGUCUGAGAGGAUGAUCAGCCACAUUGGGACUGACACACGGCCCAAACUCCUACGGGAGGCAGCAGUGGGGAAUAUUGGACAAUGGGCGCAAGCCUGAUCCAGCCAUGCCGCGUGAGUGAUGAAGGCCUUAGGGUUGUAAAGCUCUUUCACCGGUGAAGAUAAUGACGGUAACCGGAGAAGAAGCCCCGGCUAACUUCGUGCCAGCAGCCGCGGUAA
rnacentral:rRNA from 1 species